UACGUAGGAGGCAAGCGUUGUCCGGAAUCAUUGGGCGUAAAGAGCGUGUAGGCGGUCCGGUAAGUCGGCUGUGAAAGUCCAGGGCUCAACCCUGGGAUGCCGGUCGAUACUGCCGGACUAGAGUUCGGAAGAGGCGAGUGGAAUUCCCGGUGUAGCGGUGAAAUGCGCAGAUAUCGGGAGGAACACCUAUGGCGAAGGCAGCUCGCUGGGACGUUACUGACGCUGAGACGCGAAAGCGUGGGGAGCAAACAGG
rnacentral:rRNA from 1 species